UGAGGCCCUCUUUUCUCAGGUCUCUCUGGAGGGGAACAGAACUCUUGCCCUAAACUGGGAAGGCAGCAUCCAUUUUCAGACCAUGUGCUCAGCCAGGUAAUGUGAGCUCUUUGCCAAUGGCAACAUUUUAAGCUCUAAGGACCUACCCUGCUUUCUACCAUCU